rnacentral:rRNA from 1 species
GACGAACGCUGGCGGCGUGCCUAAUACAUGCGAGUAGAACGCUGAAGCGAGGAGCUUGCUCUUCUUGGAUGAGUUGCGAACGGGUGAGUAACGCGUAGGUAACCUGCCUUGUAGCGGGGGAUAACUAUUGGAAACGAUAGCUAAUACCGCAUAACAAUGGAUGACACAUGUCAUUUAUUUGAAAGGGGCAAUUGCUCCACUACAAGAUGGACCUGCGUUGUAUUAGCUAGUAGGUGAGGUAAUGGCUCACCUAGGCGACGAUACAUAGCCGACCUGAGAGGGUGAUCGGCCACACUGGGACUGAGACACGGCCCAGACUCCUACGGGAGGCAGCAGUAGGGAAUCUUCGGCAAUGGGGGCAACCCUGACCGAGCAACGCCGCGUGAGUGAAGAAGGUUUUCGGAUCGUAAAGCUCUGUUGUAAGUCAAGAACGGGUGUGAGAGUGGAAAGUUCACACUGUGACGGUAGCUUACCAGAAAGGGACGGCUAACUACGUG